GAUGAACGCUGGCGGCGUGCCUAAUACAUGCAAGUCGAGCGAACAGACGAGGAGCUUGCUCCUUUGACGUUAGCGGCGGACGGGUGAGUAACACGUGGAUAACCUACCUAUAAGACUGGGAUAACUUCGGGAAACCGGAGAUAAUACCGGAUAAUAUAUUGAACCGCAUGGUUCAAUAGUGAAAGACGGUUUUGCUGUCACUUAUAGAUGGAUCCGCGCCGCAUUAGAUAGUUGGUAAGGUAACGGCUUACCAAGGCAACGAUGCGUAGCCGAGCUGAGGGGGGGAUCGGCCACACUGGAACGGAGACGGGGUCCAGACGCCUACGGGAGGCAGCAGUAGGGUAUGUUCCGCAAUAGGCGAAAGCUUGGCGGAGCAACGCCGCGUGAGUGAUGAAGAUCUUCGGAUCGGAAAACUCUGUUAUUAGUGAAGAACAAAUGUGUAAUUAACUGUGCACGUCUUGACGGUACCUAAUCAGAAAGCCACGGCUAACUACGUG
rnacentral:rRNA from 1 species